rnacentral:rRNA from 1 species
AUGCCGCGUGUGUGAUGAAGGCCUUCGGGUUGUAAAGCACUUUCAGCGAGGAAGAACGCCUGUCGGUUAAUACCCGGCAGGAAGGACAUCACUCGCAGAAGAAGCACCGGCUAACUCCGUGCCAGCAGCCGCGGUAAUACGGAGGGUGCAAGCGUUAAUCGGAAUUACUGGGCGUAAAGCGCGCGUAGGUGGCUUGAUAAGCCGGUUGUGAAAGCCCCGGGCUCAACCUGGGAACGGCAUCCGGAACUGUCAGGCUAGAGUGCAGGAGAGGAAGGUAGAAUUCCCGGUGUAGCGGUGAAAUGCGUAGAGAUCGGGAGGAAUACCAGUGGCGAAGGCGGCCUUCUGGACUGACACUGACACUGAGGUGCGAAAGCGUGGGUAGCAAACAGGAUUAGAUACCCUGGUAGUCCACGCCGUAAACGAUGUCGACUAGCCGUUGGG